AUGGGGAUGGGGCCAAAGUGGGUCCCGUCCCUUUUUACAGCUGGGCUCCGGGCGGCCGUGACCCUGCUGGAGUGCGGGGGGGACCUCCAGCCCCCCGGGGGGUCCCUGCGCCUCCUCUGCCGAGGGGCCGGGUUUGAUUUCAGUGAUUUCCACAUGAGCUGGUAUCGCCAGAGACCCGGGCAGGGGCUGGAGUGGCUCGCGGGGAUCAGCUACAAUGGUGGUUGGACUGGGUACGCGGAUUCAGUCAAGGGCCGGUUCACGAUCUCCAGGGACAACGGGCAGAGCUCGGUGACGCUGACCAUGAACAACCUCAAGGACGAGGAUUCCGGAUCCUAUUUCUGUGGCAGAAGUGUUGCUGGCAUUGCUGGUUGGAGUGCUGCUGCUAUCUUGGAGUGGUUCGGCCCGAAAUCCGCUCUCUGCACAUUUCCACAAAGUGGACUCAAGCCUUAA